rnacentral:rRNA from 1 species
ACAGAGGGUGCGAGCGUUGUUCGGAAUUAUUGGGCGUAAAGGGCGCGUAGGCGGUGCGGUAAGUCACCUGUGAAACCUCUGGGCUUAACUCAGAGCCUGCAGGCGAAACUACCGUGCUGGAGUGUGGGAGAGGUGCGUGGAAUUCCCGGUGUAGCGGUGAAAUGCGUAGAUAUCGGGAGGAACAUCAGUGGCGAAGGCGACUUCCUGGCCCGAUACUGACACUGAGGCGCGAAAGCGUGGGGAGCGAACAGGA